rnacentral:rRNA from 1 species
CCGAUGGCGGGGGAUAACUACUGGAAACGGUAGCUAAUACCGCAUAACGUCGCAAGACCAAAGAGGGGGACCUUAGGGCCUCUUGCCAUCGGAUGUGCCCAGAUGGGAUUAGCUAGUAGGUGGGGUAAUGGCUCACCUAGGCGACGAUCCCUAGCUGGUCUGAGAGGAUGACCAGCCACACUGGAACUGAGACACGGCCCAG